UACGUAGGGACCAAGCGUUGUUCGGAUUUACUGGGCGUAAAGGGCGCGUAGGCGGCGUGUUAAGUCAGCUGUGAAAUCUCCAAGCUUAACUUGGAACGGUCAGCUGAUACUGAUGUGCUAGAGUGCAGAAGGGGCAAUCGGAAUUCUUGGUGUAGCGGUGAAAUGCGUAGAGAUCGGGAGGAACACCAGUGGCGAAGGCGGCUACCUGGACCAGCACUGACACUGAGGCACGAAAGCGUGGGGAGCAAACAGG
rnacentral:rRNA from 1 species